rnacentral:rRNA from 1 species
UACGGGGGGAGCAAGCGUUGUUCGGAUUUACUGGGCGUAAAGGGCGCGUAGGCGGCCACCGCAAGUCGACUGUGAAAUCUCCGGGCUUAACCCGGAAAGGUCAGCCGAUACUGCGGGGCUAGAGUGCAGAAGGGGCAACUGGAAUUCUCGGUGUAGCGGUGAAAUGCGUAGAUAUCAAGAGGAACACCUGAGGUGAAGACGGGUUGCUGGGCUGAUACUGACGCUGAGGCGCGAAAGCUAGGGUAGCAAACGGG